UGAAGGAGAGUGAUUUCAGCAGGCUUUUGUCUUAUGCAAGCAAUACUAGCAAACCCAGCAGGAUGAUGAGUGCUAGAUAGUUGCAAAAUUGAUAUUAGGAGAAAUUUAAGUAAUUAAACUUUAACACCUUAAUAUUGACUUUUGUCUGGCCUUUUACAUGUAAUACAUUUAUUAUGCACAAGCAGAUGCUGACAUUCAUGUUAGGAAGGUAAAAAUCUUUGGAAAACUAAACUUGAGCACUCCCUGAUCACUAUUUAAUAGUAGCAUCCUUUUUUGUUUGAUCAUUAUCUACAAAUGACUUUAAAGAAUAUUAUUUGUCUUAAUUUGCUUUAAAAACUCUGAAGUUUUUAUCCCUAUGCUGGUUUUGAUAUUAUGCCACUUCAGCCCUAUCUUCAGCCUGACUUCCCUCUCUUCCAUAAGAACUAAGUACUGAGUCAAGGGAAAUUGAUCAUUUGCCUCUGUUUUAGGAUAGAUUUAUAGGCAGGUCAUAGGUCUAGGAAACUACCAUAGCAUCACAGUCUGGCAUCAGUGUGUCUGAAUUACAGACACAAGGUCCCCUGAGAAAAUAGCCAGGUUCUGGAACCCUUAAAUGUCAUUCCAGUUGUAACAUUUAUAUAGUUGCAAAAUGUCACAUUUAUUUUAAAUUUCUUUUAUCUAAUACCUACUGAAACAGAAUAGUAUUUUUUUAAAGAUGAAAUUGAGAUUUUUUAAGUUGAAGGUAGUAAGCCAGAUACUGAACUGAGAACUAAAGUUUUAAGAAUACAAGAAAAAUAAAUCCCAGCAUAGGUAACAGAAUGAUUUGAAAAGUGCAAAAAUAAAUGUAAAAAACCAUUGUGCAGAGGCAAUGGAAGUAAAAGUAACCAUUAGAAUCACAAAAAUGAAAAGGACUUUAAGUCAUCAUUACCAAACCUACUCAGAAGGAAGCCUUUUUAAAGUAACAUAGCACAAAGAAUGUUAUAAAUUGAGAAUGUUAUAAAAUGUCCAUGCAGAGUGCCAUGGACAAAAACAGUAUAAGCAAAAUAGCAGAUUCUGAUACAAUGCUACUUUUUCUAGAAGCUUCCAAGGAGUACAUGCUGAAAGAUUGCUCUAUGUAAAAAUAAAAAUAUUCUGAGGUAUUUUGAAUCUUUGUCCUAAGCAUAAUAAAAGAGUCCACUGCUGAACUGUGGGAGGGUAUAGGAUGUUUUCACCCAUUUUUGGAAAAGACCUAAGGUGGUCUAAAAAGUAAGCUGAAAGCUUUUUUCCUUUCUAAGUCCAAACCAGAUUCUUAUAUCUUAUAACUCUAAAAAUGAGGAAAUGUCUGACAUAGUAAGAAGAUUUAUGUGAUGUAACUAAAAAGACCAAGAAAUAAUAAAAGUCCAAGAAAACUUGCAACUGAGUAAGCCUAGUUCAUGCAACAAAGAAAAAUUCCACAGUAUGUAUUAUCUUUUCUUUUUGGGGUAAUGAGGACAUGAAAAUUGGUCUUAAGUUGAGAUAAAUUAUAGCAAAUAUGAAUCGAUGAAUAAAAUAUAAUAUAGUUAGAAUGUGAGGAGUGUGGAGAUGAGGUGUAAAAUAGAGAUGAAAACAAAAAGACCAUAACUGAGAGGAUUGCAUGUUAAAGAUUCCAGUCUUCAAAACACUAAGGAAAAUAAGAAACAAGUAACGAAGCAGGUGAGUGAAAUGAUUAUAAAUAGAAUAAGGUGAUAGUGGUAGACACUGGGAAUAGUGAAGAAAUUCAAGAGAUAUUUAGGUCAUAGAUUAAGGUGAUAUUGUGGUUGAUUUGAUAUUGGUGAAAGAAAGAAGAGAGUUUUCUGAUUUUUAAGUUUCAUGAUUUUUUUUAGAAAUUUAAUAUUUUCUGGCUUUAAUUUUUUUUAAUUUUUCUGCUCAGGUUUUCUAAUUUGGGUAACUUGAUGAGUGGUGCUGCCAAUACUGGAAUUAAGAAAUAUAAAUUUAAUGCUUGGAUUGAUGGUAUAAUAAAUUAAUUUUUAUUCAUUUUGAAUUUUUGUGUUCUUCUGAAGCAUGAAUGAGAAGAAAUUUCUUAGGCUUUGUAAUCAGAAAAGGCAUCUGGAUUAAAAUGUGAAUUUGAAGAUUGUCAGCACAUAGAUAUAACUCAGUGAAGAGACUGACCAUGCUUGUUCACGUUUCAUAAAAAGAACAUAAAAAAUAGAUUUCUCUUCAUGGCAAACAGAAGAUCUCACUUCUCAAUCUACUGCCAUCAUGGGACCAUGGUAAAGACACUAUCUAUGGUGUACUAAUUGUUGGAUAAGUUCAACAGGAACAAUGAAUACUUCUCACUUACCGUUUAAAAUUACAUCGUUAGCCAGACUAUGUUACUGCUGAUGCAAGCCAUUUUAAAACUAUUUAACAUAUAACAAUGUGUAACAUUAAAUGAAAUGUGUAUAUGACACCACAAUUAUAAUUACAAGUGUGCUGUUUUCUUUUGCUACUGUAAUUACACAAUAAGACAUCUGAUACCCAGUUUUAUCUGCAUAGUUAUAGGAAAGCAGUGUUGACAUCUAUCAGCUUGAGGAAACCACACAAUGAAUUAUCAUAAUAUAAAUUAUUUGUGUUAGGCUCCAUUAUGUGUACUUGAAGCUGGUGUAUAGAUUGAUAUUAGGUUUAUUUUUAUUCAUAACCUCUGACACGACUAUCAUAACAAUUUUGAAAAGAUACAUCAAAUGUCAAUAAUCUCGUUUUGUAGAUUUGAAUGUUUUAUUGUAUACAUUAAUAUAUAUGCAUUUCCAAUAUGUACAUAUAAUGUAGUAUAUCGAUAAAUGUAUGCAUGUAAUACUAAAUAUGAACACAUAUAUAUAUAUAUGCAAAUACAAAUAGAAAGAGCAAUGUUUGUUUAUUAAAUCCAUUGUAUCCAA